GCGAGCAUGACAGCUCAUGAACAAACCUUUGCUCCUUCAAGAUUAACGUUUUGACUGACGAAUAGACCCAUGUUGGAAGUAACUCAAGUCUUUCCCUUGUGUUGACUGAUCAUCUAUUUGCUCCUUCAAGAUUAACGUUUUGACUGACGAAUAGACCCAUGUUGGAAGUAACUCAAGUCUUUCCCUUGUGUUGACUGAUCAUCUAAAUAGAACCCACAAAGUGUCCUGGAUGAUGUUCAAGCUU
rnacentral:lncRNA from 1 species